rnacentral:rRNA from 1 species
AUUGAACGCUGGCGGCAUGCUUUACACAUGCAAGUCGAACGGCAGCACGGACUUCGGUCUGGUGGCGAGUGGCGAACGGGUGAGUAAUACAUCGGAACGUACCCAGUAAUGGGGGAUAACUAUCCGAAAGGAUAGCUAAUACCGCAUACGCCCUACGGGGGAAAGAGGGGGAUCGCAAGACCUCUUGUUAUUGGAGCGGCCGAUGGCUGAUUAGCUAGUUGGUGGGGUAAAGGCCUACCAAGGCAACGAUCAGUAGCGGGUCUUAGAGGACGAUCCGCCACACUGGAACUGAGACACGGUCCAGACUCCUACGGGAGGCAGCAGUGGGGAAUCUUGGACAAUGGGCGCAAGCCUGAUCCAGCAAUGCCGCGUGCGUGAAGAAGGCCUUCGGGUUGUAAAGCGCUUUUGUCAGGGAGCAAAUCCUUGUGGUUAAUACCCACCGGGGAUGAGAGUACCUGAAGAAUAAGGACCGGCUAACUACGUGCCAGCCGCCGCAGUAA